UACGUAGGGGGCAAACGUUAUCCGGAUUUACUGGGUGUAAAGGGAGCGUAGGCGGCCAUGUAAGUCAGAAGUGAAAGCCCGGGGCUCAACCCCGGGACUGCUUUUGAGACUGUGUGGCUGGAGUGUCGGAGGGGUAAGUGGAAUUCCUAGUGUAGCGGUGAAAUGCGUAGAUAUUAGGAGGAACACCAGUGGCGAAGGCGGCUUACUGGACGAUCACUGACGCUGAGGCUCGAAAGCGUGGGGAGCAAACAGG
rnacentral:rRNA from 1 species